GUACGGGAGGCAGCAGUGGGGAAUUUUGCGCAAUGGGGGAAACCCUGACGCAGCAACGCCGCGUGGAGGAUGAAGUCCUUCGGGACGUAAACUCCUUUCGAUCGGGACGAUUAUGACGGUACCGGAAGAAGAAGCCCCGGCUAACUUCGUGCCAGCAGCCGCGGUAAUACGAGGGGGGCGAGCGUUGUUCGGAAUUAUUGGGCGUAAAGGGUGCGUAGGCGGUUUGGUAAGUCUGAUGUGAAAUCUAUGGGCUCAACUCAUAGUCUGCAUCGGAAACUGCCGGGCUUGAGUAUGGGAGAGGUGAGUGGAAUUCCUGGUGUAGCGGUGAAAUGCGUAGAUAUCAGGAGGAACACCUGUGGCGAAAGCGGCUCACUGGACCAUAACUGACGCUGAUGCACGAAAGCUAGGGGAGCAAACAGGAUUAGAUACCCCGGU
rnacentral:rRNA from 1 species